rnacentral:rRNA from 1 species
ACUCCUACGGAAGGCAGCAGUGGGGAAUAUUGGACAAUGGGGCGCAAGCCUGAUCCAGCAAUGCCGCGUGGGUGAAGACGGCCUGCGGGUUGUAAAGCCCUUUAGGCGGGGAGGAACGGUCGGGUGCCAAUACCACCCGGCGCUGACGUUACCCGCAGAAUAAGCACCGGCUAACUCCGUGCCAGCAGCCGCGGUAAU